CAAUUCGAUGUUGUCUGAGACGUAAUGUCUUAUAUUUUGUUUUUGUUGUUUUAUGUAUGUAUUAACAAAUUACUGUUUUGUUAUUGUAUUGGUAUUGAUUUAAUUAUUUUUAUUAUAGUUUACUUGUACUGUGAGGGGUUUAUUUUUGUUUUGUUAUUUUAAGUUGAUUUGAUUUGUUGUACCUUGUGUAUCAGGGUCUAUUAAUUUUUAUUAUAUAUUUUUAUUUCCCGAUUUUAGAGGAGUUAGUUAUUUAUUUUAGUUACUGUUUCAUCAGUAUUGGAAAUAUUUAUUUAGUGAUGAAAUGUCAUUCGUCUUUAAUGGUAUCUGGUUUUCUAAGAAAUGAAUUUAAUUCACACUUUUUGUUUAAUUUUUUCAUAUUUUGUUGUGGUGUUUGACAUAAUAGUGAGGAUUCUGGGGGAUAAGCUUCAGUUUUUAUCUUUAUAAUCUUUUUUAUUUAAAAGUUUUGUGGGCUUUAUGUUGGCCACCAAUUUGAUUAUGUUAGAAUUUUACUUUUUUCUUUCUUUGGAUUUAUUUUGUUAUUUAAUUUUUUAUUAGGAUGUCUGGUUUAUUUUGUUUUCUACUGUAGUUUUGGUAGAAUUAGUAUAAAUUUUUUUUUGGUUAUUGGGUUGUUUUUUGAUUCUUUAAGAGGAAUUAGGCAAAUACAUUUGGCGUUCGCUUGUUUAACAAAAACAUCUCUUCUUGUGUAAUGUUUUGAGGUACGGCCUGCCCACUGAUUUAUUGAAGGGCCGCGGUAUUUUGACCGUGCAAAGGUAGCAUAAUCAUUAGUUUUUUAAUUGUAAACUGGUAUGAAUGGUUUGACGAGAUGCCAUCUGUCUUUUAUGGAUUAUUUAUUGAAUUUGGGCUUUGGGUAAAAAUACCUAGAUUUUUUUAUGGGACGAGAAGACCCUAUAGAGUUUUAUAUAGAUUUUAUUUUUCUUUGUUUGUUUAUUUCUGUUGAUUUUUCUAUAUUUUGUUGGGGUGAUGGGAAGAUAUGAUUAACUCUUCUUUAUUUUUUAUACUGAUUUGUAUUUAAUUUUGAUCCUUUGUUAUUGAUUGUAAGAUAAAAUUACCUUAGGGAUAACAGCGUAAUCUUUUUUGAGAGUUCUUAUCGACGAAAGGGUUUGCGACCUCGAUGUUGGAUUAGGAUGAAUUUUUGGCGUAGAGGCUUUAUAAAUUAUUGGGUCUGUUCGACCUUUAAAAUCUUACAUGAUCUGAGUUCAGACCGGCGUGAGCCAGGUCGGUUUCUAUCUAUAAUUUUAUUUAAUUUCUUAGUACGAGAGGACCAGAUAUUUUGAAUAAUUUUAUUUAUUAUGACUUUUAUUAAUACUAAUUUGGCAGAUAAGUGCGGUGGAUUUAGAAUCUAUAUAUG
rnacentral:rRNA from 1 species